rnacentral:rRNA from 1 species
UUCGCAAUGCCCGAAAGGGUGACGAAGCGACGCCGCGUGGGUGAGGAAGGCCCUCGGGUUGUAAAGCCCUGUCAGGAGUUAAGAAAUGUAAGUGCGCUAAUAUCGCAUUUAUUUGACGAAGGCUCCAAAGGAAGCCACGGCUAACUCUGUGCCAGCAGCCGCGGUAAUACAGAGGAGGCAAGCGUUGUUCGGAAUUAUUGGGCGUAAAGAGCACGUAGGUGGGUUUGUAAGUCAGUUGUGAAAGCCUUCCGCUCAACGGAAGAACGGCAGCUGAUACUACAGGGCUAGAGUACGGGAGGGGAGAGUGGAACUUCUGGUGGAGCGGUGAAAUGCGUAGAUAUCAGAAGGAACGCCGGCGGCGAAAGCGAUUCUCUGGCCUAUUACUGACACUCAGUGUGCGAAAGCUAGGGGAGCAAACGGGAUUAGAUACCCCGGUAGUCCUAACUGUAAACGAUGGGCACUAAGUAGAGGGGUUUU